GAUGAACGCUGGCGGCGUGCUUAACACAUGCAAGUCGAACGGAAAGGCCCAAGCUUGCUUGGGUACUCGAGUGGCGAACGGGUGAGUAACACGUGGGUGAUCUGCCCUGCACUUCGGGGUAAGCCUGGGAAACUGGGUCUAAUACCGGAUAGGACCACUUCUUGGAUGUUGUGGUGGAAAGUUUUUUCGGUGUGGGAUGAGCUCGCGGCCUAUCAGCUUGUUGGUGGGGUAAUGGCCUACCAAGGCGUCGACGGGUAGCCGGCCUGAGAGGGUGUACGGCCACAUUGGGACUGAGAUACGGCCCAGACUCCUACGGGAGGCAGCAGUGGGGAAUAUUGCACAAUGGGCGCAAGCCUGAUGCAGCGACGCCGCGUGGGGGAUGACGGCCUUCGGGUUGUAAACUCCUUUCGCUAGGGACGAAGCGUUUUGUGACGGUACCUGGAGAAGAAGCACCGGCUAACUACGUG
rnacentral:rRNA from 1 species